AUGUGGGCUUGGGAGAGGAUACCCAAUAUUCGACCCGAGAUUGUUGAUAGGGUUGAGUAUGAUGGUACGACACCUUGUGGCAUAAUUUGGAGGGGGCGAUUGAAUGUGAGUAGAGCGCCGCUACAUGUCCAAAGUUAUUAUAGGGAACAGUUGGCUCAUUUGCAUGACAAUCAGUUUAUUUGGGAGCCGUAUUUGGGUCGUCCUCUACCAGAUGAGUGCAAGCGUGGGAUGAAUGUUUGGGGAUGCACUAACUACCUCAUUUGCUAUCAUAUUGUGGAGCCGCAUUGGGGUCAUCGAGUUACGCGACAGUUUGGCUUCCCCCAACAUAUUUUUCCUAAUGAGACUCGAUUCCACGUGUUUGAGAGAUGGGAAAGUACGCGGCGAGGUAAGUCAACCACAAAUUGGGUAGCUCAUCAUGCUAACUACAUCCAAUAUUGGAGUAACCGGGGAGAAAUAGAACAGCGAGUGUAUCCAGAAGCCUCGAAUACGGACUACAUGAAUUGGUU